rnacentral:misc_RNA from 1 species
GAAUUUAUGUAAAAUCCUGCUAUGAGAUCGAUCCAUCUAAAUCGUAUGUAAUACAAGUUAAUGCAGUCCAGUAGGCUGUGUGUGUGCGUGUUUGCAGUGCGUAGUAAUAGAGGAGCUUUGUACCUUUGGUUAAUCAAAGGAAGCUUCUUGUUUUAUUAUUCAAUUUUGUCUGCAAGCUGCUGGGUCUGAUUUUUGUUUUCAUUUGUUUUGACUACUAUGACGAAGAAAUUAGAAACAAAAAUCAGACCCAGCAGCUUGCAG